rnacentral:rRNA from 1 species
UCGCUUUGGGAGGAGCUCGCUUACUAUCAGCUUGUUGGUAGGGUAAUGGCCUACCAAGGCUAUGACGGUUAGGGGGUGUGAGAGCAUGACCCCCAGCAUUGGCACUGAGACACUGGCCAAACACCUACGGGUGGCUGCAGUCGAGAAUCUUCCACAAUGGGGGAAACCCUGAUGGAGCGAUGCUGCGUGCGGGAUGAAGGCCUUCGGGUUGUAAACCGCUUUUGUAGGGGACGAAAUUUUUGACGGUACCCUUUCGAAUAAGAGGUUGCUAACUCUGUGCCAGCAGCAGCGGUAAUACAGAGACCUCAAGCGUUAUCCGGAUUUACUGGGCGUAAAGCGUCUGUAGGGGGUUUAUUAAGUUCCAAGUAAAAUUUCAAGGCUCAACUUUGAAUUCGCUUGGAAAACUAAUAAACUGGAGUCUAGCAGAGGUGCAUGGAACUUGUGGUGUAGGAGUGAAAUCCGUUGAUAUCACAAGGAACACCAAAGGCGAAGGCAUUGCACUGGGCUAGCACUGACCCUGAGAGACGAAAGCGUGGGGAGCAAAACGGAUUAGAUACCCGUGUAGUCCACGCCCUAAACGAUGAAUGCUAAAUGUUCGGGGAUUCGACCCCCUGGGUGUUACAGCUAACGCGUUAAGCAUUCCGCCUGGGAAGUACGGCCGCAAGGCUAAAACUCAAAGGAAUUGACGGGGAUCCGCACAAGCGGUGGAGCGUCUGGUUUAAUUCGACAGUAAGCGUGGUACCUCACCAGGGUUUGACAUCCCUUGACAGCCUUGGAAACAAGGUUUCCUUCGGGCAAGGUGACAGGUGCUGCAUGGUCGUCGUCAGUUCGUGCCGUGAGGUGUUCCGUUAAGUCGGGAAACGAACGAAACCCCUAUUGCAUGUUACAAUUUCUCAUGCAAGACUGCCCGGAUAUACUGGGAGGAAGGUGGGGAUGACGUCAGAUCUGCAUGGUCCUUAUACCCUGGGCGACACAGGCGCUACAAUGGCAGAGACAAAGGGUUGCAAAACCGCAAGGUGAAGCUAAUCCCAAAAACUUUGUCUAAGUUCGGAUUGAAGGCUGCAAUUCGCCUUCAUGAAGCUGGAAUCGCUAGUAAUCGUGAAUCAGCCACGUCACGGUGAAUAUGUUCCCGGAUCUUGUACUCACCGCCCGUCACACCAAGAGAGUUGGUAGCUCCCGAAGCGUCCCGUUUUAGCGGGGCAUCACGGAGAGAUCAGCGAU